UGUGCAGUAGCACCUUAGAGACCAACUAAGUUUGUUCUGGGUAUAAGCUUUCAUGUGCAUGCACAAACUUAGUUGGUCUCUAAGGUGCUACUGGACA